rnacentral:lncRNA from 1 species
CGACGCUCAGCCUUUUGUGGCUCAAAUGCGCUGGUGGAUCAUGAUUCAUGAGAGUGCGAAAAUUACGCUCUCCGCGGCGCUCAUUACUGCUGAGUGUAAAGUUUUGGGGGAGAAACAUCGCUUGCUUGGCGGGAGCGUGAGCAUAGAUACAUAUGUUUGCAAUGCCUUUUGCUCUUGUCUACUCUAAAGGUUGGACUAUUAUUGGGGCGCUUGUGUCUCAUGUUAUUGUACUCGUAUAUUGAAAUGCAUUGAGUGUGUGUGUGUGUUUGUGUUGCUUCAACUAUUUAUGAGGAAAAAUUCCUUUACACGUAGGCAGCGAUCAACAGGCGUAUUUGAGCCAGAAAAAGCUUCGACUGAAGGCAAAGUAUAAGCUGGAACAUUCAAGUGCUCAUUAAUACACCUACAUAUGUACAUAUAUGCGUGGAAUAUGUAUCUGUGUGUGUAUGAGUUUGAGCAUGUGGUUAGUCACAAGUAUCUAAUAUCCGUCAGGUACUAAUGACAUUGUUGUUUUGAAGACAUUUCUCACUUAUAGUUGCUGCUUUUGCUAUUGUCAGUCUCACAUGGCCAUCAUACUACAGUCAUUACGGUUUUGGUUUACCUUUUCGUGCCGGCAUACAGCGUUGGCAUCUAUGAAUCUAUCUAUUCGUCUAUCGUUCGUCUAUUGUAUUCUGCAUUCGCCGUGGACUGCAAAGUGUUGCCUCAUGCAAGGCACUCAAGGCGAACUUACACACUUGCAAGCACUUUCUCGUGGAGGAUGAAUGUCGUAACAAACGAGAGCCAGUCACAUAUACUCGCAUAAACAGACACAUUAGCUGGAUCGUGAAAGCUUGAGGAUGACGAGGGCUAUUGGAGCGGCACAGCCAGGCGUAUUAGAUGUUUGGACUGUCAUACACACACCGCCAUAUAAAUAACUUACGAGGGACAACAACGACGACAACGAUAAAUACGGACGAUCGCCCCGGUGCCUAGGAACUUUGUGACGGCAGCAACAGCAACGGCGACUGAGACGAAACCAAUGCGUUUGCCGACGACACAACUCAAUUCGUUUGUCACAUUCGUUUAGCUUUCGUGGCUCCCCCCGCCCCAUGCUUGUUGCUUGCACUAGUAUUUGUUAUGAAUGUUGAUAAAAACAGGCGUUCGUAGAUGUCUGUCUGUAUACUUGUGUAUGCACAUUAGUAUUGGUCUAACCAACGGACGAGAGGAAGUAAUUGAGAAGAUGCAAGAGUGGAAUGUGAGGCGAAAAACAGACUCGAAAAACAGCACGCAAUAGGGCAAGGCAAACAGGCAGAUCGGUAGAUAGCUAGAGCUGGAUUGCUAGAUCGGCACAACGGUGUAACGUGGGCUGAGUGGUAAAGAGGCAGGCGGCAUGCCAAACUAACAACUAGCCAGCCAGCUAGUCAACAAGGCAGGCAAGCAGGCAGGCUGGCGUGCGAGAUUGCACAGGCUGGGCCGACAGCACGGAAUUCACGAUACGACUCAGUGACUACGCGAUUUAACGAGCGGAGAGUGUAAUAGAGGCGCUCAAAGCAACAAAGUGGCGGCAACGGCAAUAGCACCGCCAACAAAAAUUAUAACAACAUUUCACAUACACAAAUAAACAUGUGAUGGUAUGCACUACCACUCACUACAUACAUAUAUUUGUACAUACAGCGAGUGAUGGCUGUAGCCGGUACCAGAUCCCCAGCAGUACUUUGUGCUGGUGCAAGCGCUUAUAUGGACACGGUUGUAGGCCAGACCAAUCCCCAGCAGUCAAUCAAGCCCCUGUCGUAAGCAAAGUUUUCACAUUAGUACAUACAUAUGUAUGUAUGUACACGCCAAAUAUUGAAUAAUUUGCCUGGCGGGUAUAUAUUUUCGAAUGCGCCUUGCUUUCCGUUUCAGAGAUUGUCACGAUCGCUGGAUGAGCGCGUGCGAGUGUGUAUGUGUGCCUGUGAUAAUUAGAAAAUAGUGAUCUUUGUACAUAUGUAUGUAUGGCUGUGUGUAAGGGCGAAGGGGGUGCAAGGAAAUAUCCAACAAAUAUACAUAGUGUAUUUAUUACUUUUUAUAGAAAGAGGGAAGUGAAUGCAGGAAGUAACGAAAUAUAGUACUUUUACCGGUAAUAUGAAAUAGGCAAAAGUCGAUUGCUUUGCUUGGAAAUGAAAACAAUUGAAUUUAUAUUAAGCAAUACAGAACUGAAUUGGUUAUCGUGCGAUCAUUUGUGUC